AAUUUGCUCACAAGAAAAUUCCCUGUGGGUCCCACUAUCUUUAUUCCAAUAUCAGACCCUAUGUCUGAUAUUUGUCCAGACAGAGAUCUGUUGAAUUUCACACUGUCAAUGUAAAGCAACAGCUUAUUUUUUAUAGGUAUGAGACAAAGACAGAAACAGAAGUCAAACCUCCCCUCACCUGAGACAAAUGUAUAUUUGCGUCCUCUACUCUGUGUUUAUUUUAUCUUAUGUAAAAAUGAAGAUUCAUU
rnacentral:lncRNA from 10 species